ensembl:lncRNA
CAGAUCUUAAUUUUGAUCGCAAACGUGUUUGUUACAAAUAGCAGUUUGUUCGUAGCUUUUAAAAUACCAAAUGGCUCAAGACUGUGCUCAAAACCUGACUUUUUGCAUGUCUACACAUCAUUUGAUGUGUCACACACUUUAUUGUCCAGCACUGCAUAUAGUAAUGGAAAUGCAUACAGUAUUGCUCAGAGAUUGCUUUUUCAUAGCUGAGGGAUCAUCAUUUUCACUUAAAAUUACUUGGAUGAAUAAAAAAUAGUAAUAAAUAGAAAUAAAAUUGUUGGUAUAGUACAAGGACAGGUCAAAUGCUAGGUUUAUGCAGUGUUGUGCUGAGUAGCCCUGCUCACGGUGAAAUCUCACUGGUCCAAUAUCUCACUCCACAUAGGUGUUGAUAUUAAAAAGAUCUUAAAUAGUGAGUUUGCCUGAGAUGCUUUGCUCGAAGCAUUUUCAACAAAACUAUCGGUGUGCUUUUAAAUCGUAUAGCCCUGGAUAUCGCUUGCACCAUUUACACAGCGGUACAAAACUAGAGACUAGCUGUGGGUGUCAGACUCGCCUUCAGCCUGUCUGCUGUCCCUGCCUACGUAGCUCCGAGAGAUGGCAGGCGGAGUAAAUUGAACUGAUCUGUGUUGAUUAAGGUUGAACUGAGGGCAGAAGAGAGCAGGGAUGCGAAGGUCACCCCCUUUAUCUAUAAUCACAUCACUGCAGAGCUCUGCUGGUGGAUCAGCGUCUCAUAAUUACUCAUUAUUCAUGAGUUGGUCAGAGAGACAUUCACAUUAUGUACGGGUCCCUUGCGAUCCUGAAAUGGCAGCUACAGGAGAUGUUUAGUUAGAAUAAUGACAUAAAUGUUAAUCCUGAUGUUCAGAUGGGUAAUGAACCACCUGUGUUUGUUCCCCGCAAAACAUGGUGAACUAAAAUGCAGAGAUUAAAGGUUAAAAAUAUCCUUGCUCAUCAAAACAUGUUCGGCUUGUCCUGUGGCCUCUUUUCUAUGUUUGCCGGAUCAUGCGGUUUUAGGGGAUCAAUAUCCAAUCCUUCUUAUUACAGAUUAAUCUCUGAAUAUCCCAGCUUCAUUAAAACUAUAUCUGACUGUUGCUAUGUUCAGAAUGCAAUGCUUUUUUAUAGUGCAGUAAAAUACUCUGCAUUCUGAACUAACCAUAAAACAGUUGCAUGCAAUUCAGCGAGUGGCAUCUCUAAAAAUAAAUAGAGAUAUUUUCACUUUUUCUCAUUUUUAAAUCUUUUGUCAGUCUAAGCACAUAAUAAAAUAUGGCGACUCUUGUAGCCAUGCAAGAACCAAUGAGGUUUAGUUAUUGAUGUUCCGCCAAAUUUGAAUUCUCUAGAUGGCGCAGGCUGAUGUGUUUUUUUAUAUGUAAUUUGUGACAUGGCAGUCCUGGCAUUGUGUAUUACAAGUAUUGUUUGCUUUGUUUCUCUUUUGUAAGUCCCUUUGGAUAAAACACCAGUUAAACGCAUAAAUGUAAAUAUGCUAGCAGUCAUACCAUUUACUACAUGGCACAAGCUGAUUGGCCUCUGCUGAUUCUGCAGCCAACGAGCUUGCUUGAUUAAUGUUUAAAUAGUCUGGUUCAGUGUUUGUGGUAAGUUUCUCUGAAACCCUCCACCUCCUCCAGCACCACCUGUCUAGUUCUGCUACAGGAUUUGUUUAUUGUCUGUUCAUGCAGCAGCACCAUGUUUUACAUGCUCACAGCAGCAUGUCUGUGUAUCUGUUUUUGCAGUAGCAAGUCCACCCAGCAGCAGCAAAUAUAUCUAGUCCCUCAAAACCAAAUAUAUUAACAUGCUAUUCCAAGAGUUGUCAUAAUUGAAAUGAUUUCAAAGUUUUGAUUUGUUUUGCAAGUGAUAACCUCUUAUAUUUUGCUUUGUUCAUCAUUAAGUAAUCACUUUAUUAAUCUGGAACAUCAUGAGGGUGAGUAAAUAGACAGAAUUUUCAUUUUUGGGUAAACAUAUCUGUCCUUGUAAAUCUUUUUUGUUGUACAGUACAUUUUUAUAAGGGAUAUUAAUAUUAUAUCAGUUUAUUGAACAUGCUUCUCUUAUGAUGUGAAGUAUCAUCUGAAUGAGCUUUUAAUGUGGAAAUAACCCCAAGUAAUUCUUCUUUGUACAACCGAUUUUGUCAGUGUUUCCCACACUAUGGUCCAUUAUGAGACCCGAUUCUCACUGCAAAAGGGACAAACCAAAAGACCACAAAAAAAAAGAGUCCUAUUUAUCUUUUGAUAAAUCCUGUCUCUUUCAAUCAGGACAGCCAGAUAGCAGUCAAAUUCAUCAUCGCCUCAUAUCUCAUAUAGAGUUCUGCUACAGUGCACACAGUUUAUUACAAUGCCUCAUGAAGCUGUCUCCUCAAAGUGUUCAGAGAGAACGAAGCUCAUUCAAAUGGCUUUGAUGCCGAUCUGAAAUUCAAUUGCAUUGUGUCAAAGAAGAGCCAAAUCCCAAGAUGCCCGCUGCUUGAAACACCAUCCUUCUUUGUCGUUUUUUUCUCAAACCGUUUAAGUACUAUAGUUAGCUACUGGGAGCAAAAACAGUUUUCAGUCCUGAAAAAAAGGAGGUAAUAUGGAGGUUAACACAACAUUGCACUUAGUUUAAUGAAGAACAGACAGAGAAACGGCACAUUAUGUCACUGCUCCAGAUUCGUGUUGCUCACCCACCUUAAGCGUAGCUCUUUUAGAGAAAGCAGAAGAUAAAGGUGACAGCUAAAGAUAUACAUUGGUGUGAUAAAAAAGUUAAGUCGUCUUCUUCUAAGACACAUUUCCUUUGGCACCGUGGCCCAGACUGUGGAACCAAGGCAGUCAUUAUGGGUGAAAAACUGUCCCGGUUCAGGGCCCUGACUUUAUUGGAAUUGCUCGCAAGUGUCACUACGUCACACUUGUCCCCUGAGGUGUAUUUCUCCAUGGUGAAAUAAGUGCUGGGUGAUAAAAGAAAAUGCUCUAUAAGACGUAUCGAUGCCAGAGGGAGCCCGCAAAUGCAGAAACGGCACUGCACAGCUGUACGGACAAUAUAUUGGCAGAAAUAAAACUGGCUUUGAGCAAGCCCGAGGAACACAGGUUCUCUGAUCAGAUAAUGUUUGAGUUUAUGAUUUUUAUCAACUACAUACAGUGCAACCUGUGUAGUCCGAUUCCCUGAAUGAAUGAUUCUUUUGCACCAAUUCUUUUUAGUGAUUAAAAAUCAAACCGCAUAACUAGUCUCAUGAAUAAUUCUAAUGAGUUGGUUCUUUUUUAGUUUAUCAAACACAUAUAGCUUACAGCUUACUAUGUUAAAUGGUUGAUCAUAUGACAAAUGAGCUUUUUCAGUAGUAGACUGUUUAUACAAAAAAAAAAUCAAUUAAUGUUUUGUUCGUACAGUAUUGGUUAAAUCAUAGGUAAGGCCUAUUAUUGCUCUUUGUUUUUGCUGCCUCCAAACAAAACUGUCUGAAAACAUCUGUUUAAACAGAUUUUGCAAGAAUUGUUUUAAAUGUAUUUAUCAUUGAAAGAAUUGUUCAUUAUUUGUUGAUGUUAACAAAAGGAA